GCAUGUAGCUCAGUGGCAGAGCACUUGCCUAGCAUGCACAAGGCCCUGGGUUUGCUUCCCAGCACCAUGCA
rnacentral:tRNA from 1 species